rnacentral:rRNA from 1 species
GAUGAACGCUGGCGGCGUGCCUAAUACAUGCAAGUCGAGCGAACAGAUGAGGAGCUUGCUCCUCUGACGUUAGCGGCGGACGGGUGAGUAACACGUGGAUAACCUACCUAUAAGACUGGGAUAACUUCGGGAAACCGGAGCUAAUACCGGAUAAUAUAUUGAACCGCAUGGUUCAAUAGUGAAAGACGGUUUUGCUGUCACUUAUAGAUGGAUCCGCGCCGCAUUAGCUAGUUGGUAAGGUAACGGCUUACCAAGGCAACGAUGCGUAGCCGACCUGAGAGGGUGAUCGGCCACAAUGGAAGUGAGAGACGGUGAGGACUACGAAGGGAGGCAGCAGUAGGGAAUCUUCCGCAAUGGGGGAAAGCCUGACGGAGCAACGCCGCGUGAGUGAUGAAGGUCUUCGGAUCGUAAAACUCUGUUAUCAGGGAAGAACAAAUGUGUAAGUAAAUGUGCACAUCUUGACGGCACCUGCUCAGAAAGCCACGGCUAACUACGUG